rnacentral:misc_RNA from 1 species
CAACCAUCCAGCUCUGCUGGGUCUUGGGCCCUGCCGGCGACGGCAGGCCCUAAAACCAGUGGCGGUGCCCGAAGGCCCUGAACGUAGUACAUCUCUCGUUACAGGCGCUGGAGGAACACCUGCCAACAACCCCAAACUUCUAA